CAUAAAGCCAGCUAACAUUUGUGAUGCAGAAACAUAAUUUUAAAAACCCAAAUGAUGAAUCAAGAAGGUGGGAUCUUUCUAGCAGCAAAUGUGAGGAUGGUGGAUCACAAGUCCCAAAUUGGGAAGACCCUUGAUUAAAUUAUGUCAUUUUAGACAUUUUUUUAUAUGCUACGUUCCUUGAGGGAAGAGUUUUAUUUUGGUAUUAUAGAGGUGUUCAUGUUUAAUUGCAGAGUUGUAUUACAAAACAUGAAGGUGGUUCGACCUUUUCCAGAUAUUGGCAGAUACACCAUGAUCUUCCACAAACGAGACAACGGCAACGAGGUCAACCAAAAGAG